UCCUCACCCGCGUACCCUAAAACCCACGCCGACACCUUCCUCUCCUGAUUCUCCCUUCGCGUCGAACCACCGCCGAGCCCUCACCCUGCGUCGCCGCACUCCCUCGCACGAGCACCCUCGGACGCCGCCGGCGUCUCCCCCUCGUCGACACCCAAGCACCGCCGGCACUCACGCGGUUUCCCCUCUCACAACCCCCUCGCCUCUAGCCGCCGAGCCACAGCCGCGAUCAUCUUGCCCUCCCGCGAGCAUCACAGCCGGCUCUCCUCCUCAUGCCAACACCGGGGCGUCGCGACGAGCCACGGCAGUCUUGCUCUCCUCUUUGCAUGAGCACCGCGGCGUCGCCCCCUCUGCCCUCGCCGAACCUCUUCUUCCUCACGCGAGCAGCAGCCGCCGAUCCUCUCCUCGCUGAGCCAUGCCCUAACUAACCCAGCGAGUUCCUUCCUCAAUAGAUACGGAUAGAAUUCUAGGACGCUGAUUCGAGAUGAGCGUAUUGACGUAGGGCUUUUGAUUCGAUCUUCUUGCUAAGGCAGGUAACAGAUAGAUGAGUCAUGGAUGCUUGGAGAGAUGUCGGCUGCCAGUCCUGGGUCCUAC